GACGACAUAGCCAAGCGGUAACGAAGAGGACUAUAAAUCCUCCAUCCCCGGUUCAAAUCUGGGUGUCGCCU
rfam:Picea glauca, whole genome shotgun sequence.